GUGAGGAAUCUUCCACAAUGGGCGAAAGCCUGAUGGAGCAACGCCGCGUGAAGGAUGAAGGUCUUCGGAUUGUAAACUUCUUUUAUGAGUGAAGAAUAUGACGGUAACUCAUGAAUAAGCACCGGCUAACUACGUGCCAGCAGCCGCGGUCAUACGUAGGGUGCAAGCAUUAUCCGGAGGGACUGGGCGUAAAGAGUUGCGUAGGCGGUUAUGUAAGCGAAUAGUGAAACCUGGUGGCUCAACCACACAGACUAUUAUUCGAACUGCAUAACUCGAGAAUGGUAGAGGUAACUGGAAUUUCUUGUGUAGGAGUGAAAUCCGUAGAUAUAAGAAGGAACACCAAUGGCGUAGGCAGGUUACUGGGCCAUUUCUGACGCUAAGGCACGAAAGCGUGGGGAGCGAACCGGAUUAGAAACCCUGGUAGUCC
rnacentral:rRNA from 1 species